rfam:Acidothermus cellulolyticus 11B, complete genome.
GCGGGUGUAGCUCAAUGGCAGAGCUCCAGCCUUCCAAGCUGGCGGUGCGGGUUCGAUUCCCGUCACCCGCU